UACGUAGGUGGCAAGCGUUAUCCGGAUUUACUGGGUGUAAAGGGAGCGUAGACGGCAUGGCAAGUCAGAUGUGAAAGCCCGGGGCUCAACCCCGGGACUGCAUUUGAAACUGUCAGGCUGGAGUGCAGGAGAGGUAAGCGGAAUUCCUAGUGUAGCGGUGAAAUGCGUAGAUAUUAGGAGGAACACCAGUGGCGAAGGCGGCUUACUGGACUGUAACUGACGUUGAGGCUCGAAAGCGUGGGGAGCAAACAGG
rnacentral:rRNA from 1 species